UUGUGUUGUUAUUGCUAAGGACUCUCUUCCGGCUGCCUCCGGGACCAGCUUCGAUCCAUCCACUGUCUGUUUGUACUGCUGCUCAUAAAUUUUACAGCUUGCGUUUGAACCUACUGGGAGCUUAAACAAUUGCUUUAUUGAUGAAUUUUCACUCAUAUGAGGAAGAGCUCCACACCAGAGUGACACGGGACUGUUCACCACGGUAAAAUGAACACUGCUGUGAGAUUGCUUGUUCUUUUAUCUAAUAUGUGGAGCGUAAUUGUGCAGGGUCAAGGCAGGAUCAAGCCCAUCCUAGAAUGGAGCAAAGGGGAGGGGGGGUCUCACCCUGGACACGUCGCUAGUCCAUCACAGCGCCACUUAUACUGUACACGUGGACAGCCAUUCACAUCUACAGGCAACUUAGACAAUCAGUAAUAAUCAAUAGUAUUGCAUGUCUUUGCAUUGUGGCAGAAAUCGAGCCACCCAUCAGAAAGGCACCUAGGCGACCCUGGAGUCAAACCCAGGACCUUCUUGCUGAGAGUACUGACAACUACACCACCGAACUCUACGCCAGAUUGUAAUAUUGGCCUUAGCUGCUCCCCGCUUCCUGUGUCUUUGUAGAUCACCACUUUUUAACAUUAAAACAUCUGAGGACCAUUGACUCACCAAUAAAACAAUACUUUUAAAGCAGGGAAACCAGACUCUGUAUGUUGGCGCUGGAUUUUAGGCAUUAUAUAGGAACACAUAACACAUUUUGACUGACAAAAUUAAACGCAGGAGGUUCACCCAUCCCAAUUCAGAGACUCUACUUUUAUAUUUGCAAAAAUAUAAAUAUGAUUCCUGAGAAACCUAUUAUUUUAUUUUUGCCUACAUUUAGAUACUAAUUCGGAUGCAGACAUACUGUAGUUUGUGUGUUCGACUCCAGUCACCUUGCGCGCGGUUUGCACAGAAUUGCCAGUUGUGAUAAUGUUACAUGACUAUGUAUUCUGCACUUUGACUAUUAGUGCACUCUUAUAUCAUAUCAAAAACCACCUGUAAUAUUAACUGGGCCUAUUACAAGCGACAGCCAGGUGCCUGUAAUGGAGGCAUGCACAGGUGUCCUGCAGCUAAAGGAAUUUGACCUGUGGCUGAGCAGGCUGCUCAUGAACCCUCUGGCUUAAAAGCCGCAUGCGCUGCCACAAUCGUCACUUUACAAAAAUAAUGCCAAUAUUUAAAAGCAGACCGGGCUGUUUAAAAACAUCUUUAUUUCUGUCAGAUCAUUUGUUCUAUUGGUUCUUUUGUACUGUUACACGUGUUUAUUUAUUUUUGUUUCAUUACAUGUUUUAGUUACCGUUUCAGGCUGGUUAUGGAUGAUCACGGGGCCAGAUAAAAGAAUGUGCCCGAAGAAAGUCCACCAAUUUAUGCAGGAAGUGGGUCAUGAGCCAUGUUCAUUACGAGAAGAGUUACAGUAGGUUUUUGGUUCAAUUGGUUUUGUUCUUUAUUUUAUUAAAUUGUCAUUUGCAUAUGAUUGUUUAGAUUUAUGUAAUAAGUGUUAGUGAUGUACUGAUUGUUCUGUUGUGUUUUGAUGUCUUUCGUUGAGUUUACAGUAACUGGCCUGAUCAGUCAGUAUAUAUGUUUCUCUGUUUGUGUGUUUAGGGUCAUUUUAUUUUUUGGUAAGCAUUUGGUCCGGUGGUCUUACUCAGUUUAAUUUGUUAACUUCUUUUAAGUGCCCAAUUGGGUUAUGCUAUUCUGCUGUAUUUUGUUUAUUUUGCCCUCGCUUCUUAAAUAAAUUGCAUUAUUUUGGAAAAAUCCACUAGUGUCCUCCUACCUGUCUGCUCGCUUCCUCACAGGGCAGAACUACAUUUAGAUACACUGCUUUUGCUUUAAAUCUGUAUUUCGGAAUAUAGGUAAACCACAAUCCAAUCCAAGAAAAUCCUACAAGACUUAGUAGCAGGGAGAUAAGUAGGGGAAUGGAAGGGAAUGUUCCUUUUUUAUUAUGUACAGCUAUACGGCUGUUACUUUCCCAAAAAAAUCACUUUCUUACUUUCUUACAAAAACUGUGCAAAAAUAUGCAGCCAGUUGUAUUUGCAUGUGACUCUAUGUGAUAUAGCAUUAACCUUUUUAUUAUAGAUUUAUAUUUUUCCCACUCUGUGUGUGUUUAUGUUGAGCUGCACAGAGUUUGCAGUUCUGAAAGUUCGAAUGUUCUGAACUUUAAACCCGCCAUAGGCCGAUUUAAUUAAUCAUACAGCCAGCGUCUCAAAGCUGCAGCUUCUGUCAGUAAAAUAAUAAGGAGGUGCAAUACAUAGAUGCUCCAAAUGUCUAUUUCCAUAUACAUAGAGUAUAUAAACAGUUUGAGAUUAAUUAUUCUACAAUUUUAGCUUCCACAUUCACUAGACAAAUUUUUUUCCCUUUUUUUUCCCCUUGCAAUUUUGCAUUGCUCUGUAAAAAGCCUGUACUGUAUAUUGUUUACGCUCAUGAAAAUAUUCCUUACAAAAUUUGGAAAUCGAUAGCAUUAAUUGCCAAUCUUACGUGUCAAACUGGUUCACUCUGAAUAAAUCGUCGUUCCAUCA